rnacentral:rRNA from 1 species
UACGUAGGUGGCGAGCGUUGUCCGGAUUUACUGGGCGUAAAGGGAGCGUAGGCGGACUUUUAAGUGAGAUGUGAAAUACUCGGGCUCAACUUGAGUGCUGCAUUUCAAACUGGAAGUCUAGAGUGCAGGAGAGGAGAAUGGAAUUCCUAGUGUAGCGGUGAAAUGCGUAGAGAUUAGGAAGAACACCAGUGGCGAAGGCGAUUCUCUGGACUGUAUCUGACGCUGAGGCUCGAAAGCGUGGGGAGCAAACAGG